AACGAACGCUGGCGGCAGGCCUAACACAUGCAAGUCGAACGAGAAGCCACCUUCGGGUGGUGGACAGUGGCAGACGGGUGAGUAACGCGUGGGAACGUGCCUUUCGGUUCGGGAUAACCCAGGGAAACUUGGGCUAAUACCGGAUACGCCCUCCGGGGGAAGGAUUCAUUGCCGAAAGAUCGGCCCGCGUCGGAUUAGCUAGUUGGUGGGGUAAAGCCUACCAAGGCGACGAUCCGUAGCUGGUCUGAGAGGACGACCAGCCACACUGGACUGAGACACGGCCCAGACUCCUACGGGAGGCAGCAGUGGGGAAUAUUGGACAAUGGGCGCAAGCCUGAUCCAGCGAUGCCGCGUGUGUGGAGAA
rnacentral:rRNA from 1 species